UACACUCCUACGGGAGGCAGCAGUGGGGAAUAUUGCACAAUGGGCGCAAGCCUGAUGCAGCCAUGCCGCGUGUAUGAAGAAGGCCUUCGGGUUGUAAAGUACUUUCAGCGGGGAGGAAGGCGAUAAGGUUAAUAACCUUGUCGAUUGACGUUACCCGCAGAAGAAGCAACGGCUAACUCCGUGCCAGCAGCCGCGGUAAUACGGAGGGUGCAAGCGUUAAUCGGAAUUACUGGGCGUAAAGCGCACGCAGGCGGUCUGUCAAGUCGGAUGUGAAAUCCCCGGGCUCAACCUGGGAACUGCAUUCGAAACUGGCAGGCUAGAGUCUUGUAGAGGGGGGUAGAAUUCCAGGUGUGGCGGUGAAAUGCGUAGAGAUCUGGAGGAAUACCGGUGGCGAGGGCGGCCCCCUGGACAAAGACUGACGCUCAGGUGCGAAAGCGUGGGGAGCAAACAGGAUUAGAAACCCUUGUAGUCCCA
rnacentral:rRNA from 1 species